rnacentral:ncRNA from 1 species
UACAUUUGCACCCGAAUUGGGAUAGUCCCGGUUCAUACAUAAUAAUCAUUUAAAUAAUAUUGGCAUG